UGACCGCGUAGCUCAGCUGGCAGAGCAUUGGGCUAGUAUUCCAAAGGUCGUAGGUUCGAUCCGCACCGUUUAA
rnacentral:tRNA from 1 species